AGAGAGAGAGAGAGAGAGAGAGAGAGAGAGAGACUUACACACAUAGUCAGACGACACCCCGCCUCCUCCCGAAGCAGCUAGUUAACUCUUCGAACAUCCCAGGAGGACAGGAGGAGCUAAAGGAACAGCUGGGGCAGGUGACCCUGCUGGGCUGUUACAGAAAAUUGCACUGCCCCGCCACCUCUACCAUCCCCCUAACUCGAAGAUACGCUGAGAAGCGCCGUUUUCAAGGCUGUUUCUUCUGGCGCCUACCCAGGACGUCUGGGAGCCUCGAGAGCAUCCCGGGGGAGAGAGGAGGAAGGAGAAAAGAGAAGCUGGGAAAAUGUGAGGGAGACGCUCACCUGAGUGUGCCGUGCCUGGAUUUUUGCGGUCCCUUUUAAUCUUCAGAGUCUACCAAAACUGGCCAUAGGAUAGAGAGCCUGCCAAGUCUGCAGAUGGCAUUUAAAGGGGAGGAAGGAACUGGGGCGGACCUCAGUGGUGAGUAGCUCGGGCAGUGCACUAGAGUAAUGUCCACCCAGCAAAGAGGGUUCCUUGUCCCCAAGAGCUGAACACAGGAAAAUCAGCUGGUGAGUCAAUGGGACUUUGUUAGGACCAUCCGAGAGCGCAGCUGGCGCCGGCUUAAGGGAAGUGCUGGAUCCCCCCCUUGAUAACACGCUGUUUAUCUGGCUUCCUGUUUCAGUCAUUGGGAUACCAUUGGCUGGUUCAAAUUCAAUGCUGAGAAGCCUGUGUGUGACCAGUUCACCCAGCGAAGGCUAUCUAUCGACUUAUACAGACUUUUACACUGUGAGCUAUCUCUGAUUCCCUGGACUUAGGGCACCCCUGUAACUCACUGAAGAGGAAGGAGGGCUUCAACACAGACCUUCAACAAGGUCACUCCAGAGAUCUUGGCUCACUUCAGGCCAAAGAUACUUGUUCCUCCAUCUGACUGAUGAAUUGUUUUCAUACUGCUUUGAAUUUUGGUUGGUGCAUCUUUUUAACCUGUGAAGGAAAAAGCAAGAAUAUGGAUCUUAUCUGAGAUGAGCUUUACAUAGGCAUGGUUUCUACGUGAAGUUCUUAGUCAACCUGUAGUUUCUCUGUCUGGAUGAGCUGUGGACUUUGAAUGGGAGAGCAAAUAGUUCUUCACCUCCCUUGCUCUGGUACUCAUGCUUACAGAAUUGAUCCUGGAAGAGAGAGGCUGCUGGAGGAAUAGACAACGUUUUUGAGAUUGUGUGUCAGACUCCAGGGACCUUUACUUGAGGUUGCCAGGUCUCUAUCUGCAGUGUUCCAUCCACAGAUGUCAGCACAGCAGGAGAGAGGAGCAGAAACACAGCUGGGAGGAAGAAGGGCUGUCUCUGGGAUGAAACCAACCACCAGCUCUUAUUCUGUGGGACACUAAGAUCUAAGAAGUGUGGCAAUACUUGGCAAACACUUCAUCUUACUGGUCCCUCGUCUCUUACACACACACACACACACACACACACACACACACACACACACGUAAUUAAAAACAUUUUUAGUUCCCUUU